rnacentral:rRNA from 1 species
CGAGCGAACAGACGAGGAGCUUGCUCCUCUGACGUUAGCGGCGGACGGGUGAGUAACACGUGGAUAACCUACCUAUAAGACUGGGAUAACUUCGGGAAACCGGAGCUAAUACCGGAUAACAUGUUGAACCGCAUGGUUCAACAGUGAAAGACGGUCUUGCUGUCACUUAUAGAUGGAUCCGCGCCGCAUUAGCUAGUUGGUAAGGUAACGGCUUACCAAGGCAACGAUGCGUAGCCGACCUGAGAGGGUGAUCGGCCACACUGGAACUGAGACACGGUCCAGACUCCUACGGGAGGCAGCAGUAGGGAAUCUUCCGCAAUGGGCGAAAGCCUGACGGAGCAACGCCGCGUGAGUGAAGAAGGUCUUCGGAUCGUAAAACUCUGUUAUUAGGGAAGAACAAAUGUGUAAGUAACUAUGCACGUCUUGACGGUACCUAAUCAGAAAGCCACGGCUAACUACGUGCCAGCAGCCGCGGUAAUACGUAGGUGGCAAGCGUUAUCCGGAAUUAUUGGGCGUAAAGCGCGCGUAGGCGGUUUUUUAAGUCUGAUGUGAAAGCCCACGGCUCAACCGUGGAGGGUCAUUGGAAACUGGAAAACUUGAGUGCAGAAGAGGAAAGUGGAAUUCCAUGUGUAGCGGUGAAAUGCGCAGAGAUAUGGAGGAACACCAGUGGCGAAGGCGACUUUCUGGUCUGUAACUGACGCUGAUGUGCGAAAGCGUGGGGAUCAAACAGGAUUAGAUACCCUGGUAGUCCACGCCGUAAACGAUGAGUGCUAAGUGUUAGGGGGUUUCCGCCCCUUAGUGCUGCAGCUAACGCAUUAAGCACUCCGCCUGGGGAGUACGACCGCAAGGUUGAAACUCAAAGGAAUUGACGGGGACCCGCACAAGCGGUGGAGCAUGUGGUUUAAUUCGAAGCAACGCGAAGAACCUUACCAAAUCUUGACAUCCUCUGACCCCUCUAGAGAUAGAGUUUUCCCCUUCGGGGGACAGAGUGACAGGUGGUGCAUGGUUGUCGUCAGCUCGUGUCGUGAGAUGUUGGGUUAAGUCCCGCAACGAGCGCAACCCUUAAGCUUAGUUGCCAUCAUUAAGUUGGGCACUCUAAGUUGACUGCCGGUGACAAACCGGAGGAAGGUGGGGAUGACGUCAAAUCAUCAUGCCCCUUAUGAUUUGGGCUACACACGUGCUACAAUGGACAAUACAAAGGGUAGCGAAACCGCGAGGUCAAGCAAAUCCCAUAAAGUUGUUCUCAGUUCGGAUUGUAGUCUGCAACUCGACUACAUGAAGCUGGAAUCGCUAGUAAUCGUGGAUCAGCAUGCUACGGUGAAUACGUUCCCGGGUCU